UACGGAGGGAGUUAGCGUUGUUCGGAAUUAUUGGGCGUAAAGGGCUCGUAGGCGGUUUGUCGCGUCGGGAGUGAAAACCUCGGGCUUAACUCGGGGCUUGCUUUCGAUACGGGCAGACUAGAGGUAUGCAGGGGAGAACGGAAUUCCUGGUGUAGCGGUGAAAUGCGCAGAUAUCAGGAGGAACACCGAUGGCGAAGGCAGGUCUCUGGGCCACUACUGACGCUGAGAAGCGAAAGCAUGGGGAGCGAACAGG
rnacentral:rRNA from 1 species